AGCAUAGCCGGGUAUAGUAUAGGAUGCACGGCGGCAAAAUCAGUGACAGUCGCACUAACGGUAGCAUAAAACUCGAGUGUGUACGUAAAAUACAUAAGAUUUAUAUGUACAUACGCAUAUACGUAUAUAUAUAAUAUCUACUCGUAUACGUAUGUACGAUAUGUAACAAUGGGACGCAAGAGAUCGAUGAGAAUAUACAAAUAUAUACAUAUAUGUGAUACAUAUAUAUAUUUCUUUUUCUUUUUCUAUCCCUUUUGAAAGUUGCAGCGGUAGGAUGCAGAGAUUCUACCACCACAUCUCUGAGCACACAUAGAGCGGCGGACACAUGAACGAAUACGUAAGUAUUUUUUUUUUUACUUUUUAUUCUUUCGUUUUUUUUUUUUUUCAAAGUCAUUUUCUAGCUUUACUUGGUAUGUCGCUCGUACGAUCGUGAGAUACGUAUACAUAUAUAUGUACAUAGUUAUUGCUGGUAUGUGUUCAAGGUAUGUAUUAUAAAAUGCAACGGCAGCGAGAACGACUGUAAUUACAUAAAUGGUUUUUACUUUUUUUUUUUCUAUUUCCUUCUUUUUUUCUCUAAACGCGACAUAAUAAUGGGGAGAAAGAUAAAAAAAAAAAAAAGAUUCAAAACCGAAAAAAUCUUUCGUUACAUAGGACAAAUGUACAAACAUACGUAUGUGUAUAUGUAUAUAAUAUUACAUAUACUUGAAUCGUCCUUGACUCCGAUUAUAAAACCUCAUAGAACGGAGCGGCAGCGAUCUGCAGCCCUACGGUAUACAGACAGCAUUUAAAAACCGAUAGACGAGAAAAAGAAAACAGAAAGAGAGAAUACGCCGUUGAUUUUACUUUCGAUAUUUCAUCAAUGUUGCUUAUAUUUUAUUUCCCAUUUUUUUUUCCAUUUGCUGCAUAUAGAUGAAAUGAUAAGAGUAUACCGCGUAUGGUAUGUAUACUGUAAAAACUCAUCCGCGUCAACGCUUUAAAUUUUAUCUCCUAGAGAACUACGACGAUUGUCACAGUUAUAGGCGAACUAGUAAUAAUAAUAACAACAACAACAAUAAUAAUAAUAAUCAGUUUGAAUAGGCUCAAGUAUGCGAGAUACGGUGGUCGUCGGGAUUAAUUGAAGAGGCGUACGCGCUGUACCGUACUUUAUUUUUCGAGAAGCAAAAAAAUAAAAAAACAAUAAAAAACCAAAUGAAAAAAAAAAGUUCUAAACAUAUCAAAUGUAAGAAAAUAAAAUGGAAUAAAAGACGAUGGCGAGUGAAAUAAUCCUGGCUACUCGUACGCGAUUCGAUACGAGUUGGGAGUAACGUUUUUAUUAUUCCUUCGCUCAAACAGUCUUUAAAAAAAGCCAAUCUCGAGCGUCGAUUAUUCUAAGCACGAGAAUAUAAGACGAAAAAUUUUUAUCUUAUAAAACGCUAACCGGCCGACGCAUCGUCAUCUUCGUUACAUCAUAAUUAUUUGAGGAGCUGAUACGACCGUUGUAUUGAAAAAAAUAAAAACCACCUAAUUUAAAACGAUCAAAUUCUCGCACUCUUGAUUUUCUGUUCAACAAUAAGAUUUGUCGCGGUGGAGGACGAGGGUGGGGGAAAAAGAAUUUGAUUUAUAAAGCGGAGCAGCAGAGCAGGGAGCGGCGAGGGGCAUGAUUUUGUAAUAAAAUCGUCUAGAAUCUAUAAGGACGUCUUAUUUCCACUGAAAUUUUUAUCAUCCCUGCUGCUCCUGCUUUGCCCCGCUGCUGUUCGCCCCGAGGCGACACUUCGCUCUUUAUUCGAGGAGGGUCUCGUUCGUUCGUUCAAAAACAAGUUGGUGGAAAUAAUAAAAUGAAAAUAUUCUCAAAAGA